GCUCUUAUCGUCUAGAGGCCUAGGACGCCGCCCUUUCACGGCGGUAACACGGGUUCAAAUCCCGUUGAGAGUA
rnacentral:tRNA from 1 species